AGUCACUGACAUUAGAUACCCGGGUAGUCCCAGCCGUAAACGAUGCGCGUUAGGCGUAUCGACGACCACGUGUUACUGAUGUGCCGAAGAGAAAUCGUGAAACGCACCACCUGGGAAGUACGGUCGCAAGGCUGAAACUUAAAGGAAUUGGCGGGGAGCACCACAACAGGUGGAGCCUGCGGUUUAAUUGGAUUCAACGCCGGACAUCUCACCGGAUAAGACAGCUGAAUGAUUGUCAAUCUGAAGGUUUUACAUGACUAGCUG
rnacentral:rRNA from 1 species